rnacentral:RNase_P_RNA from 1 species
CGAGGGGAGCGGACGGUCACGGGUACGCGUACGCGUACGUGAGGAAAGUCCGGGCUGCUUAGGGCAAGGAUAGCGGGUAACGCCCGCCGACGGCGACGUCAGGACAAGUGCAACAGAAAUAGACUGCCGGGCUUGCGAAAACCCGGUGAUGGUGGAAAGGUGAGGUAAAAGCUCACCCGCGGGGCGGUCAAACGUACCCGCGCUGUAAACUCUAUCCGCAGCAACGAUGGGGGCAUUGGGCGGCCCGUCCGCUCCCUUUUUCGGCUUGAGCUUUGCGGCGACGCUAAGCCUAGAUAGAUGACCGUCAGAACAGAACCCGGCUUAUGGCUCCCACUCGAAAU